rnacentral:rRNA from 1 species
AUUGAACGCUGGCGGCAGGCCUAACACAUGCAAGUCGAGCGGAUGAAGGGAGCUUGCUCCUGGAUUCAGCGGCGGACGGGUGAGUAAUGCCUAGGAAUCUGCCUGGUAGUGGGGGAUAACGUCCGGAAACGGGCGCUAAUACCGCAUACGUCCUGAGGGAGAAAGUGGGGGAUCUUCGGACCUCACGCCAUCAGAUGAGCCUAGGUCGGAUUAGCUAGUUGGUGGGGUAAAGGCCUACCAAGGCGACGAUCCGUAACUGGUCUGAGAGGAUGAUCAGUCACCCUGGAACUGAGCCACGGUCCAGACUCCUCCGGGCGGCAGCAGUGGGGAAUAUUCGACAAUGGGCGAAAUCCUGAUCCAGCCAUGCCGCGUGUGUGACGAAGGUCUUCGGAUUGUAAAGCACUUUAAGUUGGGAGGAAGGGCAGUAUGUUAAUACCUUGCUGUUUUGACGUUACCAACAGAAUAAGCACCGGCUAACUUCGUG